AUUGAACGCUGGCGGCGUGCUUAACACAUGCAAGUCGAUCGGUAACGCGGGGGCAACCCUGGCGACGAGAGGCGGACGGGUGAGGAACGCUUGGGAAUCUGCCCUUCAGCGGGGGACAACACGGGGAAACUCGUGCUAAUACCGCAUACGCUCCACGGAGGAAAGCCGGGGACCGCACGGCCUGGCACUGAAGGAUGAGCCCAAGUCGGAUUAGCUAGUUGGCGGGGUAACGGCCCACCAAGGCGACGAUCCGUAGCUGGUCUGAGAGGACGAUCAGCCACACUGGGACUGAGACACGGCCCAGACUCCUACGGGAGGCAGCAGUGGGGAAUAUUGGGCAAUGGGGGAAACCCUGAUCCAGCGACGCCGCGUGGGUGAAGAAGGCCUGCGGGUUGUAAAGCCCUUUCGGUAGGGACGAAAGCUCUCGACCUAACACGUCGGGAGGUUGACUUAACCUACAAAAGAAGCACCGGCUAACUCUGUGCCAGCAGCCGCAGUAACAC
rnacentral:rRNA from 1 species